UGAUCAUGGCUCAGAUUGAACGCUGGCGGCAGGCCUAACACAUGCAAGUCGAGCGGUAGCACAGAGAGCUUGCUCUCGGGUGACGAGCGGCGGACGGGUGAGUAAUGUCUGGGAAACUGCCUGAUGGAGGGGGAUAACUACUGGAAACGGUAGCUAAUACCGCAUAACGUCGCAAGACCAAAGUGGGGGACCUUCGGGCCUCAUGCCAUCAGAUGUGCCCAGAUGGGAUUAGCUAGUAGGUGGGGUAACGGCUCACCUAGGCGACGAUCCCUAGCUGGUCUGAGAGGAUGACCAGCCACACUGGAACUGAGACACGGUCCAGACUCCUACGGGAGGCAGCA
rnacentral:rRNA from 1 species